AGAGUUUGAUCCUGGCUCAGGAUGAACGCUGGCGGUAUGCUUAACACAUGCAAGUCGAACGGGGCUCUUCGGAGUUCAGUGGCGGACGGGUGAGUAACGCGUGAGAAUCUGGCUUCAGGUUCGGGACAACAGUGGGAAACUGCUGCUAAUACCGAAUGUGCAGAGAUGUGAAAGAUUAAUUGCCUGAAGAUGAGCUCGCGUCUGAUUAGCUAGUUGGUGGGGUAAGAGCCUACCAAGGCGACGAUCAGUAACUGGUCUGAGAGGAUGACCAGUCACACUGGGACUGAGACACGGCCCAGACUCCUACGGGAGGCAGCAGUGGGGAAUUUUCCGCAAUGGGCGAAAGCCUGACGGAGCAAUACCGCGUGAGGGAGGAAGGCUCUAGGGUUGUAAACCUCUUUUCUCAGGGAAGAACAAAAUGACGGUACCUGAGGAAUCAGCAUCGGCUAACUCCGUGCCAGCAGCCGCGGUAAUACGGAGGAUGCAAGCGUUAUCCGGAAUUAUUGGGCGUAAAGCGUCCGCAGGUGGCAGUUCAAGUCUGCUGUUAAAGGUCGAGGCUCAACCCCGAACAGGCAGUGGAAACUGAACAGCUAGAGUGCGGUAGGGGCAGAGGGAAUUCCCAGUGUAGCGGUGAAAUGCGUAGAGAUUGGGAAGAACACCGGUGGCGAAAGCGCUCUGCUAGGCCGUAACUGACACUCAUGGACGAAAGCUAGGGGAGCGAAUGGGAUUAGAUACCCCCGUAGUCC
rnacentral:rRNA from 1 species